GCAGGAGAGUAGCUAGAGACGGGGCUUCGGGGGCGGGAAGGCCUGGCUUUAGGUGAGUGCCUAUGGGCACGUCACUACCUCUCAAUGGCCUGGGCAACUCCCACAUUUGAGGCUGAAAAGAAAACGUGACCUGCAUGGGUGACGGGAAUUACCCCGGCAGCGAGCUCCGGAAACCAGAGAAAUCCUGGGGUCGGACACAAAAACACAAGCUGGCCCCGUCCCGGGAAAGCUUGCACGCUGCUAGAAUACACUGUUUCCACAUUUUCUUCCUAUCAGCAGCAGCUAACAUUUGUGUCGAGGCUCCUGCGCGCUUUACAAAUAUUAUUUCACAUCAGCAGUGAAACAAGCCAGUUCCAGUAGACUCGGGAUGGGAAAUGCCAUCUGCAUCCAGAGGGAGAACUGAAUAAAUGCAGGUCAAAGCAGAGUUUUUACACUUUUUUUGGUGGGCUUCUUUUUUUUCCCCUUUUGUUCUAAUUCUUCUUUCACAACAAGACUGUAUAUGUAUAACAUCUAACAUCACCUGCUAUCUUGGGGAAAGGGGUAAGGGAGAAAAAAAUUGGAACUCAAAAUCCCACAAAAAUUAAUGUUGAAAAUAUUCAUGUAAUUGGGAGGAGGGGAAUACUAGAGAAAAAGAAUUCAUUUGAUCCUCACCACAACCUGACAGGUAGGUAUUAUCCCUUUUUUUUACAGUUGAGGAAAUUGAGGUAAAAACAGAAAAUGUCUUGUCCAGGGGCACAACCCAGUGCUCUACCCACUGUAGCACCUAGCCGCCUCAACAUGACAGGUUGAUCAGUAAAUACAUUAAUGAUUUGAGAAGAGUACUAGCAAUGAGUUCUGGCUUCCCCCCAAAAAUCUUUGCAUUAAGUUCACAAUUUCCUCUAACUCAGUUUGACUUUCCACAUUACCAUCUGUAAUGUUCUCCUCUCUAAAGUAUAAUCUCCUCUGGGACCAGGUUUCUUGGGGGGCUUCUGGAGGCAGCCUUCCUUUCAGUUCUGAGUAAUCACCUCAAAUGCAGCCAGCUGUUAAAAGUUCAGAUCCUUUCUUGUCUCCUUCCUUGGGCCCGGUUAGCUUUCUUAGAGGCCUCUCUCUCUCCUUGGUUCCAAGAGCUCCUGCCACUAGUCCUUUGCCUCUCCCAGCUUCAGCCUCCAGACAGCACAAAGGUGGAAGAUGGAAUGAAUCUGGCUCUUCAGAGAGUGGGAUUGUGGGUUCUCUCUGGGUUUGUGGGAGCUCCUGGACUGAAUCCUGACUUGUGAAUCUCCCAGAGUCUCUUUGGCCCUGAGAACUUUUUGCUUAUAUGCUGUACACUGAGUAUACUCCAAUCAUUACAUCACUAGGAAACCAUUAUUUGUUGUAGGAUUAAAUCAAGGCUAAAUUAGAUUUAACCAUUCUCUCAAUUCCACUGACUUAGCACCUCGUAAGAAUUCUAACCAUCAACUGUUGCUCCCCUCCCUCAGUGUCCUCCAAAGUUUCCAGUUCUGGGGUGGGGACCAAGGCAGAGUGGGUAACUGAACUAGGCCAUUGCCAGCAGCAGAGAAUGAAGAGAAUAUAUUCCAUAUAUCACAUGGAAUAGAUCCAGAAGGGUAUAGUGGAGCCAGACAAGCACAGGUACAAAUGUCAGCCUGAGUUUAGUGUGGAAAGCCCGAGGGAAGAGGCAGCCAUUGAAGAUUCUUGAGCAGGGCAGUCAUCACUUCAUACCUGAGCUUUGGGAAGAUCACUUUGACAGUUGUGAGGAAGAGACUGGAAGGAGGGACGUCAGUCGGAAAGGUGUUGCAGUAAUUUAGGUGAGGGGGGGGAAGAGGCUGAAGGUGAGUAACCGAUCAGCUGGGGACAUGAAGGGCAGGAACGUGGAGGACACUUCUAAGGUUGCACAGCAGGAGGUUGCCAAGAUUCUAGGGCAGAGAUGGUCCCAGCCUACCCAGACCCUCCAUGGGGUCACAGAAUGCCCGGGGGAGACUUGGAGGCCUGGCCCAUUCCUUGUACUUCUGCAGCCAUUAAGCUCAGCCAGCCAGGGGUCCCUGACUUCUCUCCUACCUGGAAGCCCCAUGGCCACAACUUCCUGGGAGGAAGCCCAGAGAAGCAGCUUGAAAUCGACUUCUCAAGAGCUGCAGAUCAUAAACUGAGAACUGAAAGGGCCAACCCUUCUUGUCAGGGGAAAAACCAGGUCCAAAAAUACGGACUUCCUGGAACUCUAGAUCGAGAGCUAGAAGGCCCCUCAGGGGCUAAUCUAGUCCGAUCCCCUCUUUUUACAGAUGAGGAAACCAGUGUACAGGGUGGCUAAGUGACAAGUUCAUACAGGUAACAUAAGAGCCAGGAUUUGAGCCGAGGUCCUGUUUCAGAAUCCAGCAAUCAACCAAAUUAUUGUCUCUUAUCUUUGUCUCACAUCCAAUGUUUAUAGUAUGAGGCAGAUCGUAGAUGCUCCAAAAAAACUGGUUCAUUUUCCAUUUGUGAGCUGUCACUCUAAUUUCCGAACAUUGUGGCGGCCUCUGGCCACAGGUAGAAAGAAGUUCAUUCUUGGGAAGUUCCCUUCUCCCACAAAUACAAGGGAGGAUCUGAGAUUUCUUCUACAAAUAGCAGAUAUUUACAUAUUUUGCAUCCCAAAUAUUCCCAGCUUCCCAUCUUGUCCCAAGUAUUCAUUGUCUAUUUAGACAAUGAACAAAAGACUUAUUAGCCCAAUACAAGCCUAAUUCAAUAAUUAUCAACAGGAAACUUUGGCCAAGGAAAGGUAAACCAUUACCUGGGUGGAAUGACUCGGGGGGAAAUCAUUUACUUUCUCUCUGGAAUAAUUAAGGGAAAGAUUUGUGGACUUGCACCAUUGUGCCCAGAAGCCAAGUCAAAUGAUCAUUUUUGUUUAGUCACUAAUCUGCACCAUUGCUUGCCCCGAUCUCCAGUGGUUGGUUUGUCACUCCAUGGGCCCAAGAAUGGAUUUAGGUCUGCAAAACUUCCAUUAGUUAAGGGGUAAAUGUGAAAUAGUGGAAAGAGCACUAAGGUUGAAAUCAAUGAAAAGGCAAUCCUUUUUUAAUAAAUACUUUCCCCCAGAUAUAUGCAGAUAGAUAUAUUUUGCCAAAAGGUACCUUUAUUUAGGAGAAGAGAUUACAGACAAAAUGAAGAGGUGAAAUAGGCACCAGGAGAGGUAAAUAUGAAACCGACUCAGAGAGCAAUAGGGUUAAGCAAAGAAAGAAGUUUGGAUGAAGUCAUUAAACGACUCUGUUAUUAUAAAUGCUAUUUAGACGUAAGUGUGCCAUUGACUGGCAGGCGAAAUCCAUAGAGAAGUUUAGCAGACUAACCAGUUAGCUAUAUUAAGGAGAAAGACAUCAUUAAAAGGAAGACUUUAUGAGGAGGAUAAGAGCACCUCAUAAAUCCUGAAAAGGACUAGCUAAAGAUAAUUUUUAACAUCCAUUUUUUAAACAUUCAUUUAGACAUUUUAAAAUGUCUGUCUAUACAAAACAUAUUACCAUACUAGUCACAUGAAAAAAGACACAGACCCAAAGGAAAAAAAUUGGGAAAAAAUAUAAAAAGUGAAAAAUAGUUUGUCAAUCUGAAUUGGAACUCUUCAGUUCUUUUUCUGGAGAUGGACAGCAUUUUUUCAUCAUGAGUCCUUUGGAACUGUCUUGGAUCACUAUAUUGCUGAAAAGAGCUAAUGUAUUCACAUUCAUCAGUAUGUAGUAGUAUUGCUGAACACAAUGUCCUCUUGGUUCUGCUCAUUUGCUUUCCAGGUUUUUCUGAAAUCUUCCUGCUGACCAUUUAUUGUAAACAUCCAGCGCAACUUCUUCAGCAGGAUUCCCCAAGUGAUGGACUUCCCCUCAAUUUCCAAUUCUUUGUCAACACAAAAGCUGCUAUAUUUUUAUACAAAAAGGUCCUACCUCUACCUCCACUUUUUAAAUCUCUUUGAGAUAAGAGAUCUAAUAAUUGUAGUGGUAAUUGCUGGCUCAAAGGGUAUGCAGAGUUUGAUAGUCCAAAUUGCUCUCCGGAAAGGUUGCAUCAGUUUACAACUCCACCAACAAUGUAUCAGUGUCCCAAUUUUUCCACAUUCCCUCAACAUUAAUUAUUUUCCUUUUCUGUCACAAUAACUAAUCUGAUAGGUGAAAUGGUACCUCAGAAUUAUUUUAAUUUGUACUUCUCUAAUCAAUAGUGAAUUAGAGCACUGAAAGGGCAAUUCUUAAAAGAACAAAAUUGACAAAACACAUAAAAAAUGUUCAAAUCAAAAAAUGCCCAUAUCGAAAAUUAGGGUUUACGACCUCAAUGUUGAAUCAGGACAUCCAAAUGGUAACCUGAUGUCAAAUUGGCAAAGGCAAUAAAAGCUGACAAUUCAGUGAUGACAACCAACCAAGAGGCACACAGGUAUCAUGCUAAUAGAGGUUUGAAUGGGUUCAAUCAUUCUAGAAAGUGAUACAGACUUGUGGUCAGUAGUCGCACCACCAGUCCCACACGUACCCCAAGGAAGUUGAUGGGGGAAAACCUACACCUACAAAAACACACUAUUUGUAACAGCAAAAAACUAUAAAUAAACUAAAUAUCUGGUCAUUGAAAGGCUAAAUAAAUCAUGGCAAUACUACGAUGCAAUGAAAAAUGAAAAGGUGGUUUGGCAUAUUGGAGGGAGAGCCAGUCUUGAGUCAGAGCAACUUGAGUUCAACUCAACCCAUGUGAGCCUGGACAAGUCCCAACCCUUGAUCCUCAGUUUCCCUAUCUUUUCAACUGUAAAAUGAGAGAACUGAACAAGAGGAGUCCCUUUCGGCUCCAGGGCUAAACUCUAUAACCUUAGAAUUAGUUGGCUGAUCCAUACAGGCUUCGUGCCACUAGGCAUCCCACAACCCCUUAGUUCCAUAGGCAACUCUACAAAAUAUUUUCAGAUACGCUUGGAUAUAAAAGUAGGCAGGAGAUAAUAGUGGAGAGUGCCGAGCUGGAAUCAGGAAGACUGCCUCAGAGAUCUUACUAGCUGGGAGAUCCUGGGCAAGGUAUUUAAGCUCUCUGCCUCAGAUUCCCCAUCUACAAAACUGGGAUAAUAGCAGCAUCUGCUUUCCUGACUCAAGAUAAAAUGAGACACGUAUGUGUAUUUUGCAAACCUUAAAUCACUGCAUAUAUAAGCAUAUAUAUAUACACACACAUACAUACACACACACACACAUACGCUAACAUGAAGAGAAAUAUAUGUAGAUACAACAAAUGUAAAUGCUAGCCAUCAUUUCUAGAUUAUGAUAAAAUAUUAGAGGCAUUAGCUAUUUGAGGUAAGGAAAGAGUACAUUCCAGGCACCAAGGCCAUGUGGCAGCAGCAUAAAAUGAAUGGAGUCGCAUGGAACAGAUCUGGAAGAAACGGUGGAGCCAGACAAGCAAGAGCUCCAAAUGCCAGCCUGAGUUUGGGUGGAAAUCCAGAGGAAAGAAGCAGCCAUUGAAGAUUGUUGAGCAGGGCAGUCAUGACUUCAUACCUGAGCUUUGGCAAAGUCCCUCUCUGAUAGUUGUGAGGAUUGGAAAGAAGACAUCAGAAAAAUACUGCAAUAAUCCACGUGAGGGUGAUGGUUGAGUGGAGAAAAAGGGAUGAGUGAGAGGGAUGAUGUGAAGAUAGGCUCGAUGGGAGGCAGAAGGGGCAGUGAUAAGGAAGACACUUCUAAGGUUGCAAACUAGGAGGUCACCAUGAUUCUAGCGCAGAGAUGGUCCAGAUUAUACGAACUAAAGGUAGUUGUCUACAAGGACUCUGUCCGGACCCACCUUCUCUUCAAUCUCUGUACUGUUCUACUUGAUGACUUCAUCAGCUCCCAUGGUUUCAAUUCACAUCUCUAUGUUGAUCAUUCUCAGAUCUGCUUAUUCAGCCCCUUUGGUCCUACAGAAUCGAAUUUCCAAUUGACACCUGUGUGUGCGUGUGAAUGUGUGUAUGUGGGUAUACACAGGUAUAUAUACACACAUAUAUUUGUACAUACUUGUCUGCAUGUUAUCUCCCCCACUUGACUGUGAGAUCCUCAGAGGAGGGAUUAACUUUUGCUAGUUUUUGUAUUCCUUAUAUUUAACACAAAGCCUGGCACUUAAUACUCAUUGGCUGACUAAAUAAUGGGAAGGAGUUCCCAAAAACCCAAUUAAAUCACAAGUCUGGACAAAAUAUUUUUAAGGAUUCAACAGAAACAAUACAGUGUAACUCUUACAAAGUCUUUUAAAGAGUUAAAAAAAAAAAUUGAACCAAAAGAACAUAACUAUGUGAACACAUAGAAAAGUACCCCAAAAAGGACUGAGAAAAUAUAAUGUGAUACCUGAGAGUUAAAGGACAGGAGGGAAGAGGGGAUCUACCCUCAGAAUCUAAUGGUCCAUUUUUUCUGAUUUCCAGGGUUGUAUUAGGGAAGGUGUGGAAUUGUUAUAGGUCUCCAAAAGUCUCUUCUGAGACCUUUUUUUUUUUUUUUUUUGGGGGGGGGGGGGAAUAUUCCAAAUAGGAACCUCAAUAUCCUUGUCUGAAUUCUGAGAUUCAAUCCAAUUUACCCCCCCUUUCUCUUGUAUGUACAGUUGUUUGCAUAUUGCCUUUCCCUAUCCCCAAUCAGAAUAUAAGUUCUUUGAGGGCAGGGACUGUUUUUGCCAAAUUGCCUUCCCACUCUAAUAUUUGAAACAGUUAACCAAUUGAUUCUUUUUACUUUGUAGUGUGAAGGGGAACUGGGGCCAGACAAGGGCCAGCUUUAAUUGGGAAGGAAUUAAAAAAUAACUCUUCUAGUCAUUCCACUGGUUAAUAUUCAUUUGGAUUAAGGUCUUACUCUUUUAGAAUGCAAAUACCUAUCAAUCAUUUAUAGCAUAAUGUUAAUUCAUAAAGCCCAAACAGCUACCAAUCAAUACAAUAAUUCAGCAAACAUUUAUUAAGGCCUGUAUUAAAUGCAAAGGCUACACAGAUACAAGUAACAGUCCUAUCACUGAAACUUACGUCCUAUGGGGUAGAAUAUAAAUAAGCUCAUUAAAAACUAAGAGAAGGAAAAUUUGAUUUGAGAUGAAAUAUAAUUUUUAACCCUUAAAUAAUUUGAAAGAGGGAAAACCUGAACCAAGUCCUUUAGCAGGAACCUGGAACUGCCCAGAGAAUAAUAAAGCAGAGAGAAGGAAAGAUAGGUAUUGAACUAAAGCAUAGAUUGAUUCCAAUUACACGUAAUUUUGCUGAUGCUGUUUUUGAUAAUUCUGUGGCCUAUGUAUGUCCUGCAUAAACUAAAUUAUAACUUUUCCAAUGAGGAUCCACUGAGGAAUCUUCUUUGAACUGUUCAUAACUAGGAAUCUUCUUUUCCCAAAGAACAAAAUUCUGCUCAAUCCUUUCCUUGGUCUUAGAUUAGUUGCAAUCUUAUCCAAUAUAAUAAAAGUCUUGUUUCUAGAGAAAAAAGCACAGUCCUCACCCAGUUUAUUUCUUCAACAAAUGCUCACCUUGAAUCCUUCCAUGUAUAAGGCACCAUGCUAAGUGGAAGGCAUCCAGAGUUACCAGCAACCCCUUGUAUAACUAUCUAGAAACCAAACAGAAGAAAUGCAGUAAGGUUCCAAGUGAAACUCAGAGGAUGGAGUUAUUCAGAAGGUAUUCAUCACAGCGGAGGAAACGGGGGAAAUGGGAGGAAAAAGAGGGAGAAUUCAGAGAUAGGGUCUGAGUUUAAGGAAUGGCAAGUGGCCCAGUUUAUUUCAGAGGGAAGUUGGGACUAGAGCAGCAUCCAGAUCUGAGAACUGCAAAGGCAGAAAAACGUGGGGACGCUUCCCACACCCAGAAUGUUCUUUCCUCCAUUUCAGCCCAUCCUCUCCAGCUGUCAAACUGAUCUCCUAAAGUGCAAGUGAUCAUGUCACCCUCCUAAUUAAUAAACUCCUGUAACCCCUAUCACCCCUAGGAUCAAGUACAGAAUCCUCCCCCUGGUGUGUGCAAAGUCCUUCACCGCCUGCCUCAUCCUUCACCUUUCCGGGCUUUUCAGGCACACUCUGACCCGGCGCUGCUUCUCCCGAGCAGCUGCACCUCCGAACCCGGAGCACCGUCUGUGGCCGUCGCCCAGGGCCGGCCGGAGCCCUCUCGCUCUCGUCUCCGAGCUUCCUGCGGUCCCCGCUAACGCCCCCACCGACCCGCAGCGUCAGGGCCUCCCACUGGCCGCCCCCAGUUCCCCUGCCUGCCCGUCCGUUCCCCUGCCUGCCCGUCCGUCCGUCUCGCUCGCACACAGCUGUUUGCACGGUGAACGGCUCCAUUCCUCCCUUAAAGCAGGGGAUCCGUGGGGCC
rnacentral:lncRNA from 1 species